rnacentral:piRNA from 1 species
UCAUUUUAUUACAAUCAAACC